ACGGGAGGCAGCAGUGAGGAAUAUUGGUCAAUGGGCGGAAGCCUGAACCAGCCAAGUCGCGUGAAGGAUGAAGGUUCUAUGGAUUGUAAACUUCUUUUGUUCGAGGGUAAAGUGAGUCACGUGUGGCUUAUUGCAAGUAUCGAACGAAUAAGCAUCGGCUAACUCCGUGCCAGCAGCCGCGGUAAUACGGAGGAUGCGAGCGUUAUCCGGAUUUAUUGGGUCUAAAGGGUGCGUAGGCGGGAUGUUAGGUCAGCGGUUAAAUAGUGUAGCUCAACUAUACUUCACCGUUGAAACUGGCGUUCUUGAGUGUAAACGAGGUAGGCGGAAUGUGACGUGUAGCGGUGAAAUGCUUAUAUAUGUCACAGAACCCCGAUUGCGAAGGCAGCUUACCAGGAUACAACUGACGCUGAGGCACGAAAGCGUGGGUAUCAAACAGGAUUAGAUACCCUGGUA
rnacentral:rRNA from 1 species